rnacentral:rRNA from 1 species
UACGUAGGGAGCAAGCGUUAUCCGGAUUUAUUGGGUGUAAAGGGUGCGUAGACGGGAAGGCAAGUUGGUUGUGAAAUCCCUCGGCUUAACUGAGGAACUGCAACCAAAACUAUCUUUCUUGAGUGCUGGAGAGGAAAGUGGAAUUCCUAGUGUAGCGGUGAAAUGCGUAGAUAUUAGGAGGAACACCAGUGGCGAAGGCGACUUUCUGGUCUGCAACUGACGCUGAGGCUCGAAAGCAUGGGUAGCGAACAGG